CAAUAGCGUAUAUUAAAGUUGUUGCGGUUAAAAAGCUCGUAGUUGGAUUUCUGCCGAGGACGACCGGUCCGCCCUCUGGGUGAGUAUCUGGCUCGGCCUGGGCAUCUUCUUGGAGAACGUAGCUGCACUUGACUGUGUGGUGCGGUAUCCAGGACUUUUACUUUGAGGAAAUUAGAGUGUUUCAAGCAGGCUUACGCCUUGAAUACAUUAGCAUGGAAUAAUAAGAUAGGACCUCGGUUCUAUUUUGUUGGUUUCUAGAGCUGAGGUAAUGAUUAAUAGGGAUAGUUGGGGGCAUUCGUAUUUAACUGUCAGAGGUGAAAUUCUUGGAUUUGUUAAAGACAGACUACUGCGAAAGCAUUUGCCAAGGAUGUUUUCAUUG
rnacentral:rRNA from 1 species